ensembl:ncRNA mir-92b mir-92b stem loop
UAAAACGUCACCUGAUGUAGGCCGUGCCCAGUGCUUAUUUGUUGCAUUUUCGAAAUACAAAUUGCACUAGUCCCGGCCUGCAAUGAGUGUCGCAGUCGAC